rnacentral:misc_RNA from 1 species
GAUGAAGAACGUAGCGAAAUGCGAUAAGUAAUGUGAAUUGCAGAAUUCAGUGAAUCAUCGAGUUUUUGAACGCAUAUUGCGCCCUCUGGUAUUCCGGGGGGCAUGCCUGUUCGAGCGUCAUUAAAUAACCCUCAAGCAUAGCUUGGUGUUGGGCUUUUUUACGUCCUUGACUGGGAUGGGCCUAAAAAUUAGUGGCGAUGGCUUUUUUACUUUCAAGCGUAGUAAAUCUCGUCUUGCUAAAGAGGAAAAAGAUUUUUUUUCUGCCAAAAAUGUUAACAUUUAAAGUUGACCUCGGAUCAGGUAGGAUUACCCGCUGAACUUAAGCAUAUCAAUAAGCGGAGGA